UUCCGGUUGAUCCCGCCGGACCUGACUGCUAUCGGAUUGAUACUAAGCCAUGCGAGUCAUUGUAGCAAUACAAGGCAGACGGCUCAGUAACGCGUAGUCAAUCUACCCUAUGGACGGGAGUAACCUCGGGAAACUGAGAAUAAUGCCCGAUAGAACAUUAUACCUGGAACGGUUUAUGUUUCAAAUGAUUUAUCGCCGUAGGAUGGGACUGCGGCCUAUCAGUUUGUUGGUGAGGUAAUGGCCCACCAAGACUAUUACAGGUACGGGCUCUGAGAGGAGUAGCCCGGAGAUGGGUACUGAGACACGGACCCAGGCCCUAUGGGGCGCAGCAGGCGAGAAAACUUUGCAAUGUGCGAAAGCACGACAAGGUUAAUCCGAGUGGUUUCUGCUAAAGAAACCUUUUGCUAGUCCUAGAAACACUAGUGAAUAAGGGGUGGGCAAGUUCUGGUGUCAGCCGCCGCGGUAAAACCAGCACCUCAAGUGGUCAGGAUGAUUAUUGGGCCUAAAGCAUCCGUAGCUCGUUUUGUAAGUUUUCGGUUAAAUCCAUACGCUUAACGUAUGGGCUGCCGGGAAUACUGCAUAACUAGGAAGUGGGAGAGGUAGACGGUACUCGGUAGGGAGGGGUAAAAUCCUUUGAUCUAUUGAUGACCACCUGUGGCGAAGGCGGUCUACCAGAACACGUUCGACGGUGAGGGAUGAAAGCUGGGGGAGCAAACCGGAUUAGAUACCCGGGUAGUCCCAGCUGUAAACUAUGCAAACUCAGUGAUGCAUUGGCUUGUGGCCAAUGCAGUGCUGCAGGGAAGCCGUUAAGUUUGCCGCCUGGGAAGUACGUACGCAAGUAUGAAACUUAAAGGAAUUGGCGGG
rnacentral:rRNA from 1 species